GACGAACGCUGGCGGCGUGCCUAAUACAUGCAAGUCGAACGAACUCUGGUAUUGAUUGGUGCUUGCAUCAUGAUUUACAUUUGAGUGAGUGGCGAACUGGUGAGUAACACGUGGGAAACCUGCCCAGAAGCGGGGGAUAACACCUGGAAACAGAUGCUAAUACCGCAUAACAACUUGGACCGCAUGGUCCGAGCUUGAAAGAUGGCUUCGGCUAUCACUUUUGGAUGGUCCCGCGGCGUAUUAGCUAGAUGGUGGGGUAACGGCUCACCAUGGCAAUGAUACGUAGCCGACCUGAGAGGGUAAUCGGCCACAUUGGGACUGAGACACGGCCCAAACUCCUACGGGAGGCAGCAGUAGGGAAUCUUCCACAAUGGACGAAAGUCUGAUGGAGCAACGCCGCGUGAGUGAAGAAGGGUUUCGGCUCGUAAAACUCUGUUGUUAAAGAAGAACAUAUCUGAGAGUAACUGUUCAGGUAUUGACGGUAUUUAACCAGAAAGCCACGGCUAACUACGUGCCAGCAGCCGCGGUAAUACGUAGGUGGCAAGCGUUGUCCGGAUUUAUUGGGCGUAAAGCGAGCGCAGGCGGUUUUUUAAGUCUGAUGUGAAAGCCUUCGGCUCAACCGAAGAAGUGCAUCGGAAACUGGGAAACUUGAGUGCAGAAGAGGACAGUGGAACUCCAUGUGUAGCGGUGAAAUGCGUAGAUAUAUGGAAGAACACCAGUGGCGAAGGCGGCUGUCUGGUCUGUAACUGACGCUGAGCUCGAAAGUAUGGGUAGCAAACAGGAUUAGAUACCCUGGUAGUCCAUACCGUAAACGAUGAAUGCUAAGUGUUGGGAGGGUUUCCGCCCUUCAGUGCUGCAGCUAACGCAUUAAGCAUUCCGCCUGGGGAGUACGGCCGCAAGGCUGAAACUCAAAGGAAUUGACGGGGGCCCGCACAAGCGGUGGAGCAUGUGGUUUAAUUCGAAGCUACGCGAAGAACCUUACCAGGUCUUGACAUACUAUGCAAAUCUAAGAGAUUAGACGUUCCCUUCGGGGACAUGGAUACAGGUGGUGCAUGGUUGUCGUCAGCUCGUGUCGUGAGAUGUUGGGUUAAGUCCCGCAACGAGCGCAACCCUUAUUAUCAGUUGCCAGCAUUAAGUUGGGCACUCUGGUGAGACUGCCGGUGACAAACCGGAGGAAGGUGGGGAUGACGUCAAAUCAUCAUGCCCCUUAUGACCUGGGCUACACACGUGCUACAAUGGAUGGUACAACGAGUUGCGAACUCGCGAGAGUAAGCUAAUCUCUUAAAGCCAUUCUCAGUUCGGAUUGUAGGCUGCAACUCGCCUACAUGAAGUCGGAAUCGCUAGUAAUCGCGGAUCAGCAUGCCGCGGUGAAUACGUUCCCGGGCCUUGUACACACCGCCCGUCACACCAUGAGAGUUUGUAACACCCAAAGUCGGUGGGGUAACCUUUUAGGAACCAGCCGCCUAAGGUGGGACAGAUGAUUAGGGUGAAG
rnacentral:rRNA from 1 species